AAGCGAAAUUUUUUUCUGCAGGAUACUUCUGCCAUAGUGUACAUCUGACAGCCAAUCAGAAUUCAAGGCAAGCACGUGUCUUUGUUGACAUCAUCUUUCCACAUGGCGCAAUAAUGUCAACAAUGCCACGUGUUCUGAUAAUCUUGGAAAGAACAAGUUAGCAAAUGGUUAGAGGAGUAUAUUAGCUAAAAUAUAUUUAUUUGCAGUAUCUUAACAUGUAUUUUCAUUGUCGUCAAUGUCGAGUGGACUGUAUUUAUUGGACUUGUCUGUUAAAGGCGCACUGUGCUCGGCAAAAUAGCCGAGGUUGAAUGUUUAUCUGUCAACCGUGUAACUAGUUCUGCUGUAUAUGCAUAGGUGGCGCCACCAUUCAAUUUAUUUUGUUUGCUUGUCAAAAUGUGUUUUAUACAAUGGCCCUUCAACAAUGUUCAAACUACCAAAAUAGGCCUGAUACCUUCAACAAACAGCAGACAUCGGAUACACUGUCCCUUUAAUAAUUAUCAACAUUGGCAACACUGUCAGUGUCACUACCCCUUAAAAUUUCACUAAUCAAUGCAUGCACUGCAAUGUAGCGAUCAGAUCAGCUGAUGCCUCUUUUGUACGCAUAAUAUCAUCAAUUUUACAAUGAAUCUGUGCAAUUCAUUCCUAAACACUACGACACAAACCUUGAGUUGAGCAUAAUUGGGGUCAGAAAAUGAACUAUUGUCACAUUCACAGUUGAAGUGGCACUCGGCAUGCGACUCGGUAUCGUCCAUUGUAUUUGCAUUAUCAUGCAUAAAUAAACAGUGUGACGUCAAAGAUCGCGCCAAUUGUGAUUGGCUGUCAGAUGUACACUGUGGCAGAAGUAUCCUGCAGAAAAAAAUUUCGCAAGCCGGAUGUAUUCUAGAAGCGACAAGCUAUUCAGAAAUGUAUAGGUUUAUGUGUGAGAGUGAUAUACUGCAAGGUCGACAGCCACUUGAACAGGGGUAUGCAUGAAAUGACGUCGCGCCAUUUGUGGAGCCAGGUUCAUUUGUUCUGCUAUUUACAAGGCUAUGUAACACCACGACGCUGAGUGUAACCACUUCAUCGUGCACGACAUCAUCACCUGCAAAGUUCACUUACUUAGUCCUAGCACACCGCAACGCAGAGCACUCCAACAUCGACAUUAUCAUCACCCAUAAUAUCAUCACCUGCAAAAUGACAACUCAUGCUGCACAGGCUGUCCUUAACCAGCUGAAAGAUUAAGAAGACACAGCUAAUGAGAAACUGGCAUAUAUGCAGGUAAUUCUUCAAGAGAGUGGAAAUAAUUCAGCUGCUGCAAAAGUCCAAAAGACACGGCGCAUAAUAACCAGCAAACUUGAAGACAUCACCUCCAAGGCGCUCCACCUCAAGUGCUAAGUAAGUGCACGCCCCUACCCAGUAGUAUCUGUCAAGUGCAGCCCAUCAAAGCCUGUUGUGCCAUCUCCAACAAAAGCUGUCCUGGUACUACCGAAAAGCUCAACCAUGUCAACCCCGCAGAAGAUACCACCAAUAACCUCAACCCCAACCUCAACCCCAGACAAGAAGCCCAGAAAUGAAGCCUCUACUGCCCAGGACAACUCAAAGAUCGAUGAUGUUGACCUAUUCGGCGACACAGAUUUGGAUGAUUCCACACUGUCCACAAUCACUUAUUUCCCUCUGACUGUAGAUGAAUAAGGGACUAAGUCACAACCACCUGCAGAUGGGGAAGAGACCAUGUCACAACCCACUGUAAAAGAGGAAGAGACCAAGUCACCACAACAAUGUUAAAUGCAUUUGGUCAUGGACUGUCCAUCAAUACAUUUAAAUCACUGCGCCCUAACACGAAUUCCUGAUAGACUGUAACACUUACUGCCGAGUCCCUCGGCAAAAACCCGACUGCUGAUGGACUGCACCAUGCAUACUACAAAUUAUUCCCUUCAAUAAAUAUUUGUCAAACUCAAAGUCGCUCACUUGCCCAACAAAU